AUCCAUCUGACGAGUCCCAAAUAGAACGAAACAUAUGUCCUGAAU
rnacentral:hammerhead_ribozyme from 1 species